AGUGAACGCUGGCGGUAGGCCUAACACAUGCAAGUCGAACGGCAGCACAGUAAGAGCUUGCUCUUACGGGUGGCGAGUGGCGGACGGGUGAGGAAUACAUCGGAAUCUACUUUUUCGUGGGGGAUAACGUAGGGAAACUUACGCUAAUACCGCAUACGACCUACGGGUGAAAGCAGGGGAUCUUCGGACCUUGCGCGAUUGAAUGAGCCGAUGUCGGAUUAGCUAGUUGGCGGGGUAAAGGCCCACCAAGGCGACGAUCCGUAGCUGGUCUGAGAGGAUGAUCAGCCACACUGGAACUGAGACACGGUCCAGACUCCUACGGGAGGCAGCAGUGGGGGAUAUUGGACAAUGGGCGCAAGCCUGAUCCAGCCAUACCGCGUGGGUGAAGAAGGCCUUCGGGUUGUAAAGCCCUUUUGUUGGGAAAGAAAAGCAGCAGGUUAAUACCCCGCCGUUCUGACGGUACCCAAAGAAUAAGCACCGGCUAACUUCGUG
rnacentral:rRNA from 1 species